AGAGCAGCAGAAGGAUCUGAGUGUCUGUACUAAUCCUCACUUAGAUACUGCUCUGCACGA
ensembl:miRNA gga-mir-12274 gga-mir-12274